AUUGAACGCUGGCGGCAGGCCUAACACAUGCAAGUCGAACGGUAGCACAGAGAGCUUGCUCUCGGGUGACGAGUGGCGGACGGGUGAGUAAUGUCUGGGAAACUGCCCGAUGGAGGGGGAUAACUACGGGAAACGGUAGCUAAUACCGCAUAACGUCGCAAGACCAAAGUGGGGGACCUUCGGGCCUCACACCAUGGGCUGUGUCCAGAUGGGAUUAGCUAGUAGGUGGGGUAAUGGCUCACCUAGGCGACGAUCCCUAGCUGGGCUGAGAGGAUGACCAGCCACACUGGAACUGAGACACGGUCCAGACUCCUACGGGAGGCAGCAGUGGGGAAUAUUGCACAAUGGGCGCAAGCCUGAUGCAGCCAUGCCGCGUGUAUGAAGAAGGCCUUCGGGUUGUAAAGUACUUUCAGCGGGGAGGAAGGCGGUGGAGUUAAUAACUUCACCGAUUGACGUUACCCGCAGAAGAAGCACCGGCUAACUCCGUGCCAGCCGCCGCGGUAA
rnacentral:rRNA from 1 species